UAAGACGAAGGAUGCAAGCGUUAUCCGGAUUCAUUGGGUUUAAAGGGAGCGUAGGUGGACUGAUAAGUCAGUGGUGAAAGCCAAUCGCUUAACGAUUGAAUUGCCAUUGAUACUGUCGGUCUUGAGUACAGUUGCUGUGGGCGGAAUAUGACAUGUAGUGGUGAAAUACAUAGAGAUGUCAUAGAACACCGAUUGCGAAGGCAGCUCACAAAACUGUAACUGACACUGAGGCUCGAAAGUGCGGGGAUCAAACAGGAUUAGAUACCCUGGUAGUCCGCACUGUAAACGAUGAUUACUCGCUGCUGGGGGGCAACUCUCAGUGGCUAAGCGAAAGCGAUAAGUAAUCCACCUGGGGAGUACGCCGGCAACGGUG
rnacentral:rRNA from 1 species